GAUAAACGCUGGCGGCGUGCAUAACACAUGCAAGUCGAACGAUGAAGAUUAAAAGAUUUCUUCGGAAUGAACUUAAUUGGAUUAGUGGCGGACGGGUGAGUAACGCGUGAGUAACCUGCCUUGUACAAGGGGAUAGCCGUUGGAAACGACGAAUAAUACCCUAUGACAUCAAAUAAUCGCAUGAUAAUUUGAUCAAAGAUUUAUCGGUAUAAGAUGGACUCGCGUCUGAUUAGCUAGUUGGUAGAGUAAAAGCCUACCAAGGCAACGAUCAGUAGCCGGCUUGAGAGAGUGUACGGCCACAUUGGGACUGAGACACGGCCCAGACUCCUACGGGAGGCAGCAGUGGGGAAUUAUGCACAAUGGGGGAAACCCUGAUGCAGCGACGCCGCGUGAUUUAGAAGGCCUGCGGGUUGUAAAAAUCUUUUGUAUGGGAAGAAAAUGACAGUACCAUAAGAAUAAGGACCGGCUAAUUACGUG
rnacentral:rRNA from 1 species